GUUUCAAUCUCUCACAGGUACGAUAAAAAC
rnacentral:other from 1 species